rnacentral:rRNA from 1 species
CUACGGGAGGCACCAGUGGGGAAUAUUGCACAAUGGGGGGAACCCUGAUGCAGCAACGCCGCGUGGAGGAUGACACAUUUCGGUGCGUAAACUCCUUUUAUAUAAGAAGAUAAUGACGGUAUUAUAUGAAUAAGCACCGGCUAACUCCGUGCCAGCAGCCGCGGUAAUACGGGGGGUGCAGGCGUUACUCGGAAUCACUGGGCGUAAAGAGCAUGUAGGCUGGUUUGUAAGUUGGAAGUGAAAUCCUAUGGCUUAACCAUAGAACUGCUUCCAAAACUACUUACCUAGAGUAUGGGAGAGGUAGAUGGAAUUUCUGGUGUAGGGGUAAGAUCCGUAGAGAUCAGAAGGAAUACCGAUUGCGAAGGCGAUCUACUGGAACAUUACUGACGCUCAGAUGCGAAAGCGUGGGGAGCAAACAGGAUUAGAUACCCUCGUAGUC